rnacentral:rRNA from 1 species
AUUGAACGCUGGCGGCAGGCCUAACACAUGCAAGUCGAGCGGUUGAGGUAGCUUGCUACCGAUACAGCGGCGGACGGGUGAGUAAUACAUGGGAAUCUGCCUGGUAGUGGGGGACAACGUUUCGAAAGGAACGCUAAUACCGCAUACGCCCUACGGGGGAAAGGGGGGGAUCUUCGGACCUCUCGCUAUCAGAUGAGCCCAUGUCAGAUUAGCUUGUUGGUGAGGUAAAGGCUCACCAAGGCGACGAUCUGUAACUGGUCUGAGAGGAUGAUCAGUCACACUGGAACUGAGACACGGUCCAGACUCCUCCGGGAGGCAGCAGUGGGGAAUAUUGGACAAUGGGCGCAAGCCUGAUCCAGCCAUGCCGCGUGUGUGAAGAAGGCCUUAGGAUUGUAAAGCACUUUCAGUGGGGAGAAAGGCCUUUUACUUAAUACGUAAGAGGAUUGAUGUUACCCACAGAAGAAGCACCGGCUAACUCCGUGCCAGCCGCCGCCGUAA